CUCAGUGGCUGCAGGGACCCGCAGGAGCUGCCACCACCUCCACCACCUCCACCACCACCUCCACCACCACCUCCUCCAGGAGCAGCAGGCGGCUCCCAGCAGUGAGGGCAGGACGGGGAGCAUCCCUCCCUCUGGAGCCGGUGCUCGCUGGGUAGCCCUUCAGCAGUGCCGUGCUGCCAGAAAUGCUUGCUGAGCCCCUGAGAGGAGGAAAUCUUAGCAGAAGUGUGGAGACUAUCCCAGAAAGACCCUUUGCAGAUUGACUCUGCAUCCUCAGAGCUGAUCUGAUCGGGGCCUACCAAAGACAUUAACGACGUCGAAAGUAGCCUACUUUAAGAGAAAAUAUGCAGAAGAAGAACAUUUACAUCAAGAUUACCAUGAGUAUUGUCCAAAACACCUGAUACUACCCGAGGACCGGACUUGUAUUCUAAAACUUUCUCUCCAGAAACUCCAAUUCCUGGAUGACCCUGAAGCCUAUCUCCGUAGGUCUGUAUUAAUUAACAAUCUGUUGAGGAAGAUUCACCUAGAGACAGAGAGGGAGAGCUAUGAAUACUUUAAGGAGGCUCCGUGUUAUAGGACUGCUUACUCUGACGCCCGAAAACGGCUGAAGCUGAUGGUGCAGGAGUGCUGUUCCCAGUCUCUCUAUUAUGAAGAGCUGCGUUCGUAUCGCAUCGUGCCUUACUCUGCAGAGAGCGCCGUGUAUGGGAUGGGCUACACCAGCAGCCACUUGGAGCAAAACUCUCAGUUGCUUAUUUAUAAAAUGAAUUAAAGUAGCUGUUAGACCCA